GGUGCGGGAACUAGAAAAUAACCUAUACUUUAAUGCUGGUAGAGGGUCUGUCCUAACCAGCAAUGGUACAGUAGAAAUGGAAGCAUGUAUCAUGGAUGGGAAUACGAAAAACUGUGGAGCUGUUUCUGGCUUAACCACUGUUGUCAAUGCUAUAUCUCUGGCUAGGCUGGUCAUGGAAAAAACUCCACAUAUAUAUCUUGCAUUUGAGGGAGCCGAGGCAUUUGCGAGGGAGCAGGGGGUUGAAACCACGGACUCAAGCCAUUUUAUCACACCACGGAAUAUCGAGAGACUAAAACAAGCAAAAGAAGCAAACAAAGUCCAGGUUGAUUAUAAUACACGGCCUAUACCAAAAGAUGACAAAACACCAGCUCCAAGUGGAGAUAGCCAGCUAGGGACAGUUGGAUGUGUAGCUGUUGACAGCUUUGGACAUUUAGCUGCUGCUACAUCUACUGGAGGACUAGUAAACAAGAUGGUUGGAAGGAUAGGAGAUACUCCCGUUAUUGGUGCAGGUACGUAUGCAAACAAACUAUGUGCAGUCUCUGCUACAGGCCAAGGUGAAGCUAUAAUCCGUGCCACUGUAGCAAGAGAUGUGGCUGCUCUAAUGGAGUAUAAAGGGCUUUCUCUCAAGGAAGCAGCAGACUACGUUAUAGAGCAAUCUGCGCCAAAAGGAACCACUGGCCUGAUUGCUGUAUCAGCCACUGGAGAAGUUACCAUGCCAUUUAAUACAACUGGAAUGUUCAGAGCUUGUGCAACUGAAGAUGGUCAUACAGAGUUAGCAAUUUGGUAACUAUUCAUUAGAAUAGGUUAGUCUUUGUUGUAUAUUCUUGCUAUUGCAAAUCAUUUAGAGUAAAUUUACUAGAAUAUUUUCCUAAUUCCUAUUGUGU
rnacentral:misc_RNA from 1 species